rnacentral:rRNA from 1 species
UACGUAGGGUGCAAGCGUUAUCCGGAAUUAUUGGGCGUAAAGAGCUCGUAGGCGGUCUGUCGCGUCUGCUGUAAAAACCCGAGGCUCAACCUCGGGCCUGCAGUGGGUACAGGCAGACUAGAGUGCGGUAGGGGAGAUUAGAAUUCCUGGUGUAGCGGUGGAAUGCGCAGAUAUCAGGAGGAACACCGAUGGCGAAGGCAGAUCUCUGGGCCGUAACUGACGCUGAGGAGCGAAAACGUGGGGAGCGAACAGG